UCCCCGUGGUUGAGACUGCCCACAG
rnacentral:misc_RNA from 1 species